rnacentral:lncRNA from 1 species
GGGAAAAAGGCUGAGGACAACAUCCACAAGCGAAACAACUUCCUUGCUAAAUCUGGUAAUGUCCAAAGAACUCUAAUCUCUCCAUCACUUGGUCAUAAGCCUGUUUACAAAGAAAUUCUUUUGAGUUAUGAUGCACCGGAGCUGCCGAGUGGAAGAUCUCUUGUUAUACAGGACUAUGAGGACCAUCUUCUCAAACCCGAUGAGCCUUUGGAAGAGAGUGGGUGGAACAGGAUUCAGUUUGGGCAAAUCGAUUGCAUCUUUCCUUUGAGAAACCCAUCUGAAGGUCUUAUCUUCACUAAAAAGA